UAUACGACCGUACCGCAAACCGACACUGGUGCGCGAGAUGAGUAUUCUAAGGCGCUUGAGAGAACUCAGGAGAAGGAACUCGGCAAAUUGACACCGUAACUUCGGAAGAAGGUGUGCCCUAUUAGUGUGUAGUGAACAACGAAGCAUGAAUGGGUUGCAAAAAAUCGGUGGCUGCGACUGUUUAUUAAAAACACAGCACUCUGCAAACACGAAAGUGGACGUAUAGGGUGUGACGCCUGCCCGGUGCUGGAAGAUUAAAUGAUGGGGUGCAAGCUCUUGAUUGAAGUCCCAGUAAACGGCGGCCGUAACAAUAACGGUCCUAAGGUAGCGAAAUUCCUUGUCGGGUAAGUUCCGACCUGCACGAAUGGCGUAACGAUGGCCACACUGUCUCCUCCUGAGACUCAGCGAAGUUGAAAUGUUUGUGAUGAUGCAAUCUCCCCGCGGAAAGACGGAAAGACCCCAUGAACCUUUACUGUAGCUUUGUAUUGGACUUUGAACAGAUCUGUGUAGGAUAGGUGGGAGGCUUUGAAGCAGGGUCGCUAGAUCUUGUGGAGCCAACGUUGAAAUACCACCCUGGUGUGUUUGAGGUUCUAACCUAGGUCCAUUAUCUGGAUCGGGGACAGUGCAUGGUAGGCAGUUUGACUGGGGCGGUCUCCUCCCAAAGCGUAACGGAGGAGUUCGAAGGUACGCUAGUUACGGUCGGACAUCGUGACAAUAGUGCAAUGGCAUAAGCGUGCUUAACUGCGAGACUGACAAGUCGAGCAGAUGCGAAAGCAGGACAUAGUGAUCCGGUGGUUCUGUAUGGAAGGGCCAUCGCUCAACGGAUAAAAGGUACUCUGGGGAUAACAGGCUGAUACCGCCCAAGAGUUCAUAUCGACGGCGGUGUUUGGCACCUCGAUGUCGGCUCAUCUCAUCCUGGGGCUGUAGCCGGUCCCAAGGGUAUGGCUGUUCGCCAUUUAAAGAGGUACGUGAGCUGGGUUUAAAACGUCGUGAGACAGUUUGGUCCCUAUCUUCCGUGGGCGCUGCAGAUUUGAGGAAGCCUGCUCCUAGUACGAGAGGACCGGAGUGGACACACCUCUGGUGUAUCGGUUGUCACGCCAGUGGCAUUGCCGAGUAGCUAAGUGUGGAAGAGAUAACCGCUGAAAGCAUCUAAGCGGGAAACUCGUUUCAAGAUGAGAUCUGCCGGGGCCUUGAGCCCCCUAAAGAGUCGUUCAAGACCAGGACGUUGAUAGGUCAGGUGUGGAAGUGAA
rnacentral:rRNA from 1 species